UGCUUUCUCCAUCGGUUGUCAUGUAGACAAAUGUCAUCACAACCUUUUUGAGUUAGCUAAG
rnacentral:pre_miRNA from 1 species